rnacentral:lncRNA from 1 species
AUAAAGAGUGUGUUGAAACAUGUGUUUAUGAAAUUACUCAAAUCAUAAGUGCAAUUAUUAUGAAAUUAGGAUAAGAAAAAUUAAUUAAACUAUUGGGUACCAAUAAAAUAACUUCAUUACAACUCAUAGAAUAUUCUAUCAUAAGGUAUAUAACACAUUUAUUUUUCUAGCAAAAAAACACAUUUUAUUGGAAAUGUUUGUAUUCUCCAUAGUCGGGUCCUCGUAGAAUCAAGGACUCUUUAUAAUCCAUUUACAUUUGUAAUCAAUGCACUUGUGAACAUAAUACUUAAUCCAAGCUUCCAAACAAUCCGAGUCAGUUUCACAUUGAAUAAUUUCUAUAAUAAAAAAAGAUAAAAUAAUUAAUGUUACUAAAACAUGAUAAAAGAAUGCGUGUAUCAACAACAAAAUAAAAAUAUGAAAUUCCAAAAAAAAUAAAAAAGUGGCUUACCACCACCAACUUUGGUUGCCACAAUAAAUAAGCAAAAACAUAAAAUGAUAGCAUAAACAAAAAUGAGAAAUUUCACCAUAUUGUCUAUAUUUGUUUAUAAGAAUAGAAUAUGAUUCGAGCUAUUUAUAGUUUAUAAAUCUCA